UAGGGAAUCUUCGGCAAUGGGGGGAACCCUGACCGAGCAACGCCGCGUGAGUGAAGAAGGUUUUCGGAUCGUAAAGCUCUGUUGUUAAGGAAGAACGUGUGUGAGAAUGGAAAGUUCAUGCUGUGACGGUACUUAACCAGAAAGGGACGGCUAACUACGUGCCAGCAGCCGCGGUAAUACGUAGGUCCCGAGCGUUGUCCGGAUUUAUUGGGCGUAAAGCGAGCGCAGGCGGUUAGAAAAGUCUGAAGUGAAAGGCAGUGGCUCAACCAUUGUAGGCUUUAGAAACUGUUUAACUUGAGUGCAGAAGAGGAGAGUGGAAUUCCGUGUGUAGCGGUGAAAUGCGUAGAUAUAUGGAGGAACACCGGUGGCGAAGGCGGCUCUCUGGUCUGUAACUGACGCUGAGGCUCGAAAGCGUGGGGAGCGAGCAGG
rnacentral:rRNA from 1 species